GACCAUCAGCUAAGGUCCCCAAAUAUAUACUAAGUUGAAUAAACGAGGUUUGACUGCCUAGACAGCUAGGAUGUUGGCUUGGAAGCAGCCAUUCAUUUAAAGAGUGCGUAACAGCUCACUGGUCGAGCGACAGGGCAUCGAUAAUAAUCGGGCAUCAAGCAUAACACCGAAGCUAUGACAUAUUUAUAUGGGUAGGGGAGCAUUCUAACGGCGCCGAAGCAGUAUCGCGAGGUAUUGUGGAGCGGUUAGAAAAGCAAAUGUAGGCAUAAGUAACGAUAAUGCGGGUGAGAAACCCGCACACCGAUAGACUAAGGUUUCCCCGGCAAUGCUAAUCAGCCGGGGGUUAGUCAGGACCUAAGGCGAACCCGAACGGGGUAGUCGAUGGACAACGGGUUAAUAUUCCCGUACUACCAUACUCAGUGAUGGGGUGACGGAGUAGUGAAAGCGCUGCGUGCUGACGGAAUAGCACGUUGAAGCGCA
rnacentral:rRNA from 1 species